GAUCUGUCAGCGGCAACUCGCGCGGCCGCAGGCUCGUCCGCUGCAGGAGCCGUGAUAUAUGUCUCGCUCCCUUUCGCUUACAGAAAGGAUUUCUUCCGACAGACGUGACCCCAGAAGGCUGCCGAGGGAGACUUUAGGACAAGAGGCGUUGUUUUUUUAGGGAAGGAAGAGGAGCCUGUGCAGAGUUGAACUGGGGUGGAGAGGUGCCUUGUAAAGUAUGGUUUCCAGAGAUGUUUCAGCGUGGCCGCAUUUGGAAAAGGCUGAAGGUAGAAAACUCUGGAAUGGAGAGGCUGGCGACUGGAGCAGGAUCCAGGGGCUUUAAAUUUUAACCUGAAUGCGAUCGAAUGCGCGACUCCCAGAAGAGAUAGCCAGGCGUCCGCCCGGCCGCUCAACCCCCGCCAGGACUCGGAAUGCCUUGCUUUUGGUUCUUUUCUACAAGGAUGUCUGCGUGGAUAUCCCUGGACACUCGAUACCCCCCGGGGACCUGCUUUUCCCGCAGCUCCGCAGACGCGGCGGGAGGGCGCGCUGGCCCCGGCGCUGCUGGGACAGAGGUGAGCAGCGGGGUGGACAUUGACCGAUUCGACAACGUUCGGGCUCUAAGGGCUCGGGAAGGGACCCGGCAUUUUACCCUCCAGAUUCCCAAUCUAUUUUUAAAAAUAAUGUUCAAAACAUAUGGGAAAAAUAAGUGAUUGCUCCUUUUCAUGGUCACAGAUUGUAUUUAUUUUUUCAGACUGGUUUUCCAACCUAACGAGGGAAUGGGUAGUGAAUGUUGUUGUUGUUGUUGUUGUUUAUGUUGGUUAAUUUCGAAAUAAAACUGUUUAACUCGUACAGUUGAUUCAGACAGAAAA
ensembl:lncRNA GATA6-AS1 GATA6 antisense RNA 1 (head to head)